CAAAAACAUGUCUAAUAGAUUAUAUAAUUUUUAGUCAAAUCUGCUCAAUGAAUUUUAAAUAGCUGCAGUAUAAAUAACUGUACUAAGGUAGCAUAAUAAAUAGUUUCUUAAUUAGAAACUUGUAUGAAAGAUUUAAUGAAAAAUUAACUUUAUUUAUUAAAAAAAAUUUAAUUUUUAUUUAAAUAAAAAUAUUUAAAUAAAAUAAAUAAACAAAAAGACCCUAAAAACUUUAUAAAUUUUAUAAAUAAAUUUAUUUAAUUGGGGAAAUUAAAAAAAUUAAAAAAUUUUUUUAUUAUAAACAAUAAUAUUUGAAAAAAAUAAUUUUAAUAAAAUAAAUAAAAAAGUUACUUUAGGGAUAACAGUAUAAUUUUUUUUUUUAGAUCAAAUAAAUAAAAAAGUUUAUGACCUC
rnacentral:rRNA from 1 species